AUUGAACGCUGGCGGCAGGCCUAACACAUGCAAGUCGAGCGGAUGAAGGGAGCUUGCUCCUGGAUUCAGCGGCGGACGGGGGAGUAAUGCCUAGGAAUCUGCCUGGUAGUGGGGGAUAACGUCCGGAAACGGGCGCUAAUACCGCAUACGUCCUGAGGGAGAAAGUGGGGGAUCUUCGGACCUCACGCUAUCAGAUGAGCCUAGGUCGGAUUAGCUAGUUGGUGGGGUAAAGGCCUACCAAGGCGGCGAUCCGUAACUGGUCUGAGAGGAUGAUCAGUCACACUGGAACUGAGACACGGUCCAGACUCCUACGGGAGGCAGCAGUGGGGAAUAUUGGACAAUGGGCGAAAGCCUGAUCCAGCCAUGCCGCGUGUGUGAAGAGGGUCUUCGGAUUGUAAAGCACUUUAAGUUGGGAGGAAGGGCAGUAAGUUAAUACCUUGCUGUUUUGACGUUACCAACAGAAUAAGCACCGGCUAACUUCGUG
rnacentral:rRNA from 1 species